UAUCCACAUGUUAGAUAAUGCCUAACUAAUUCUAAGAUCCGUUUUAACUAUCCUUGCACAUCAUAUAUUCCUCUAGUAUUGAACAAAAAAGAUCUAAUACACUCAUUAGAGCUCAACAAAGAUGCAGUAUGCUUUGCAUUUUAAGAAAAGGACACAAAGGCAAUAAAUGAAGGCUCGACCCAAAAUAACAUAUAAACAGAGAACGAAAAUGGUAGUAUCAAAUUCAACAAGCUUUCCACAAUAAAUUGCUGAAACGAAAUAAGGAAAAAGGUUGGAUUCUCAAAAUUUCAUGUAUAAACUACCCUAUUUAGAAGCAAGGAGCAACCAUUUUCCAUAAUCUAAUCUUUGGAUCAAUUGCUAAUUCAAUGUAUGAGCUAGCUAAUUUAAAACCAAGAAGCAAACUACCUUUGUCUACGAUUCGACUGUCGUCUUCAAAUGCUAUUUCCACGAUAGGUUUUGGUGGGCUGCCUUCCUCGUACUAGGUCCGAUGGUGCGCGCCAAUCAGUGGUCCAAAUGUCAACCGAUGAUGGAGGACCACAAAUUCGAUGAUGAAGAGCUGCGAUUUUUCUCUUGCUUUGUG
rnacentral:lncRNA from 1 species